rnacentral:rRNA from 1 species
UACGUAGGUGGCAAGCGUUUGUCCGGAUUUAUUGGGCGUAAAGGGCGCGCAGGCGGUCCGUUAAGUCCGAGGUGAAAUCUCCCGGCUCAACUGGGAGGGGUCUUCGGAUACUGGCGGACUUGAGGAGUGCAGAGGUGAGUGGAAUUCUCGGUGUAGUGGUGAAAUGCGUAGAUAUCGAGAGGAACACCAGUGGCGAAGGCGGCUCACUGGGCACCACCUGACGCUGAGGCUCGAAAGCAUGGGGAGCAAACAGG